GCCAGCAGUCAUAUCACCCAGCAACUCACAACUGGCAACUAAUCAGGUGUGGGCCUGGUCAGUACUUGGAUGGGAGACCUCCUGAGAAAAACUCAGGUUGCUGCUGGAA
rnacentral:rRNA from 1 species